UGGAGGAUGACAAGCUCCUGACUGAUAGAUACACGGAGACUUCGCUGAUGAUUUAUUGGCUUUCUGCACCUGACGAGAGCCACUAGGCCUAUCUGAGGAGGGAAAUAUAUGGGCUUUCCUGACUCCAAGUGGCAGCCCCGGGGCGAGCAUGUGAUGUCAAGCUGGGCAGGGGAGAGCGGAGCUGUGCACCGGCCUGUGUCCUGUAAGCCGGCCCGGGUUGUAAAAGUGUCAGCACACGAUAUAUUUCUUGCAGGGGAUCCUCUCUGGCUCCAGCCAGCCCCUCUCCCCGGUGGCUGGCAGCCGCCCUGGCUGGGCUUGCACGCAGCGGGUGCCCCAAGUCGCUAUCCCUCCACCCUGCCCAGAGCGUGGGCGCCCUCAGGUGCUCCCUCCAGCCUGGAGUCUCUCACGUGGCACCUGGCCCUGGGGACACUACAGCAGCGCAGGAGUUAAUUGCUGUUACUCCUGACUUCAGUGAAGGAGGCCGGUCACAGGGUGAGAUGUGGAAGCUAGGACCUGUGCCCCAGCAAACUCAACGUUCCCAGAGAUGAACCAAGCUUCUUCCUCGGACUUGGCUGGGGCCUGGAGUGGAUGUUCAGUUUACUGGUCAGGCUCCAGGCCUUAUAUCUUGAAACUGUUAAGUCUCUGAAUUCAUAGACAAUUCCGAGUCAGGAUGGAGGCAAAGAAGAGGACCUGAGGUUUACUGUUCACGAGGUAGGUGGGGAAGGGAUUGAAAAAUAAGAGGAGAUGGAAACUGCAUUUGCACCAGGAGGGUUUGAUGAUUUUGACCAAGUCAGUGAAUUGGAGCGCAUCUAUCUAUCACUAAUGGUUCUGUCUCCAAUUAGAGUGCAAGUUUACUCCUGGGCCCUCAACAAUCGAAAUACGUGCUCGUUCUUCUUUCGUAAAGCUCCAUUCUUCCAUGAUCUUUGGAAAUGAGCCAACACUGCAUUUUGUUUGCAUCAGUUUUUUAAAUGUUGCAAUUGGAACAUUGAUAUGCUUUUUAAAUCAGGAGAUACACUUAAUUAAAUUAGGAUUAAUUACAUUAGGAGAUGAAUUUGAUUUAAAGCAUCAAUAUGCUCUUGUCUCUCAUCUUCCCCCUUUUUUCGUCUCCUGCCCUGAUCUUGGAAAAACAUUUACUGGGUAAAUGUCUGGCUGAGUGACCUCAUAAAGGUGUUCACUGAUGCCGAGGAGUGGCUGAAGAGGAAAGAACACUCAAAGCAGCAAGAGCGAAACCUGCAGUAUGGCAGGAGACGUCAUCAGGCCGGUCCAUAACCCUGGCAGCAUCAUCCAGGCCAGUGGAUUCAGGAAAUCAGUGACCACGGGAUGGUUUCUCCGCUGGAGGGAAGCUCAGUCUGCACCUGAGCAUCGUAAACAUGUUGUUACUUUGCUCUCUCACUGGCCGAUCCUGUCCAAGCCGUACACUCAGCGCCUCAGUCGGGUUUGCUACUGCACGCCUCUCUUCGGAAAGGUCAUUGGAUAGAAGGAGAAGCGCCCAAGUCCUUCACACAAAGCAGGUGUCUAUCCAUUGAUUGCCAGGCGUGGCCGCUACUGUUGCCUUUGGACAGAGGACCCUACGGGGAUGGGGCUGAGCAGCAUGCUAGAUGGAGUAACUGAGAACAGAGUCGGGAGACAGCUCGCUCGGGAAUCCAGAACGACAGAAUGAUUUGAUGGUGGAGCCAAGACUCAGUUCUUACUUCCUGCCUCAAAAUCCAAUGCAACCCAGGAAUGACCUUUCUGGGCAAUGUUAGAAACGUGACCAUAUGAAAUGGAGAAUUUAGAUCGCAAUUCCCUGGACCACAUCCAGGACACUAAAAUGACUGUGCUGCUCUUGUAAAAUGCAUUCUAAGAAUUAUUUACUGUUCUGAAUGUAAUUUAGGGUAAAGCAGAUCUUCUUUGGAGACUCCAGGCUAAUCCCACAUUUCUUCCCCACCCAAGCCCUGUGGACAAUGACUUGCAUUAACCCCUACAGGGUGCAGAGCACUGCUGUGCCUCAUGUUUAUAAAGAAGGCGAGAUGAGAAGGAACCACCCUUGAAAGAGCAGCAUGAGGAUGAAUACAAAGGCCCCAGCCUGUACAUAAAUAGCCCUGUAUAUGUGGGUCUCACGUCCCAUGCUCCAGCUGACCCAUCAGGACGCCUAGAGACAGUAGCGAUACUUUCAGCGGCUACGGCAGGCCUCCUCUCUGCAUUCUAGAGUGGCUGCUGUGCUCCUCCAAUGUCAGAUGACUCCUUAUUUCCGGCUGCUGGAACCUGACCUCAACGUUCAUCUUUGGUUUUCCCCGCAUUUUGUUUUCAAGGCCUCAGGUUUGGACUCAUCGGUCUGGCACACCCUCCUCCCAACUCCUCCAUUCUUCUAUGCUAAAGCUGAUCUGAGGUCCCCUUUUUAAAAAUUUGGCACAAUUUAACAGAUACAUGCUGAGUGUCCAAGAGAUACAAGGUCGCUACACUAGGAUUCACAUAUCACUGAAUAACAAGAAUGAUUAUUUUCAAGGAACUUAGAAUUUAAUAGAGAGGAUGAGAAAGGAACUUAUCAGCUUUCUUUCAAAAAAAUGGAGAAAAAAAUGCCUCUUGGAAACAUGCAUAUUUGAACACAGACAGAAGCUUGCCCAAAUUCUUUCUAGAAAUAACUGUAUUGGUUGCGGGUGGGUGUAAAAGAGGAUGAGGAUAUGGUAAGCAUUGAAUGAAUUUUAGUUCCAUGGUGGACUGAAAGAAAAACGUUUACAGAUGUUGCUACAUGUUUGCUUUCUUUUUCAGUUACAUUGAAACAAAGUUCUAUCCACAGAUGUUGCCCAGGGCCGAUGGAAGAAAACCAACCAUAAAGAGAGCAUUAAGAUUAUUGUAUUAAUCAGUUUGGGCUGCCAUACAAAAUACUAGACGAGGUGGCUUAAACAACAUAAAUUUAUUUUCUCACAGUAUUAGAAGCUGGAAGCCCAAGAUCGAAGUGUUAGCACAGUUGGCUUCUGCCAAGGGCUGUCUUCCUGGCUUUAGACAGCACCAAUAUGCCGCAGCCUCACAUGGCAGGGAGAGAGAGCGCAGAGAGCAAGCACUUUGCAGUCUCCUCGCAUGAUGGCACUAAUCCCAUCAUGAAGGCCCCACCCUCAGGGCUUGAUCUAACACUACCUCCCAGAGGCUCCAAAAACCAUCCCAUCAAAGGCUAGGACAUUAGCAUAUGAAUUUUGGGUGGACAAAACUCAGUUCAUGGCAGAGAUAUACAUUAUUUUGUCAAGGGCCGGGCGCGGUGGCUCAAGCCUGUAAUCCCAGCACUUUGGGAGGCCGAGGCGGGUGGAUCACAAGGUCAAUAGAUCGAGACCAUCCUGGUCAACAUGGUGAAACCCCAUCUCUACUCAAAAUACAAAAAAUUAGCUGGGCAUGGUGGCGUGUGCCUGUAAUCCCAGCUACUCGGGAGGCUGAGGCAGGAGAAUUGCCUGAACCCAAGAGGCGGAGAUUGCGGUGAGCCGAGAUCGCGCCAUUGCACUCCAGCCUGGGUAACAGGAGCGAAACUCCGUCUCAAAAAAAAAAAAUUAUUUUGUCAAAUUUCAAAUCAGAGUAAAAUUUUCUCUAAAAUUGUACUGCUUAGCACAGUAUUAAAUGAAAUACUAUAUGUGAAAUGCUCAGAAGAGUGUCAAGUCCAUAAUAUGAAUGACAUGAAGAUUUGCUAAUAUUUUUAAAAUCCUACUUGAGAUAACUUUAAAUGCAAGAAAUCCACAGACCUAUUCUUUAAAUUACUUACUCAUGUUGGCUUCGUUAUUGCCUUAGUAUUCUUACCAAGAUGUCAUGGAGGAUAGUUAACUUUUCACUUCUCAUUUUAUAUGUGACCUUCAAGAGUAAGAUUAUUAAGUUGCAUGGGAGAUUUAGAAAAACCAUACUUGAAAUUUUAAUGGCCUUAAUUUUUUUUUCUUUUUUUUAAGAUGGGGUUUCACCAUGUUGGCCAGGAUGGUCUCAAUCUCCUGACGUCAUAAUCCGCCCGCCUUGGCCUCCCAAAGUGCUGGUAUUACAGGCCUGAGUCACUGCGCCCGGCCUUAAUUUUUUAACAGCCUUGAAAAAAAGGUAUUUGUUAUUCGCAUCGGAUGGUACCAAAUAUUAAGCGCAUUUAAUA